rnacentral:rRNA from 1 species
GACGAACGCUGGCGGCGUGCUUAACACAUGCAAGUCGAGCGGUAAGGCCCUUUCGGGGGUACACGAGCGGCGAACGGGUGAGUAACACGUGGGUGACCUGCCUUCAGCUCUGGGAUAAGCCUGGGAAACUGGGUCUAAUACUGGAUAUUACUCUGCGGUGCAUGCCGUGGGGUGGAAAGCCUUGUGCGGCGUGGGGAGUCGGGCCCGCGGCCUAUCAGCUUGUUGGUGGGGUGANGGCCUACCAAGGCGACGACGGGUAGCCGGCCUGAGAGGCGACCGGCCACACUGGGACUGAGACACGGCCCAGACUCCUACGGGAGGCAGCAGUGGGGAAUCUUGCGCAAUGGGCGAAAGCCUGACGCAGCGACGCCGCGUGA